rnacentral:misc_RNA from 1 species
ACUGCACAGCACCAGAUGCAGCCUAGCCAAAAAUGCAAGUCCUCUAUCAGAAUCAGACCACGAGGAGAGGAAAGCAUACGAAAACACUAACUUCAUCAUCAUUAAAAUUUUAAAAUGUCUCAUUCCUUGCACUUUUUUAGUUCCAAGAAAGAAUAAGUAAAUAGUGGGUACUUCCCUGUGAUAUCAGCUAAAUAAUUCAUGAUCAUCAAGUGAACUGUACUGUUAUGGGAACUUCUAAUGGGAUCUUACCAGAACAAUUUUCCACUAUAUCCAAUAAGGUUAUUCUACAA